rnacentral:rRNA from 1 species
GUGGGGAAUUUUGGACAAUGGGGGAAACCCUGAUCCAGCCAUGCCGCGUGCGGGAUGAAGGCCUUCGGGUUGUAAACCGCUUUUGUCAGAGACGAAAAGGGACGUACGAAUAAUACGUUCCGCUGACGGUAUCUGAAGAAUAAGCACCGGCUAACUACGUGCCAGCAGCCGCGGUAAUACGUAGGGUGCAAGCGUUAAUCGGAAUUACUGGGCGUAAAGGGUGCGCAGGCGGCUGUGCAAGACAGAUGUGAAAUCCCCGGGCUUAACCUGGGAACUGCAUUUGUGACUGCACGGCUAGAGUUUGUCAGAGGAGGGUGGAAUUCCGCGUGUAGCAGUGAAAUGCGUAGAUAUGCGGAAGAACACCAAUGGCGAAGGCAGCCCUCUGGGACAUGACUGACGCUCAUGCACGAAAGCGUGGGGAGCAAACAGGAUUAGAAACCCGAGUAGUCC